CCUUACUGUGAUGCAUCUAGUUGUACUAUAAUAGUUUUUUUAAAAUUAGACUUGUUCCAAGCUAAGAACCUUCUUUGAGGCAUAAAAAAGCAAUUUAACUGUGUUUUAGGGAUUUUCUUUGUCUUUUUGUUUUUUUCUUGAUGACCUCCUUUCUCUGUAAAAGCAAUGAAAGCCUCUAUGUUCUCGGAAAAAAUCGUAUUACUUUUCCAUUCCCUCACCAGAUACCCAAGGGACUUUGUCUUCAAGCAAGCCAGUACACAUUUGGAGGUUAACAGCUGAGACAGCUUUUUCUAUCUGUUCUUAUAGGAUCUUCUAAAUGAUUCAAGCAACUCUUUCAGUGGGGCUCUAAGGGAAUAAUGUGACCCAAACAGGCUGCUUGUUUUGGACCUGAGCAGUGGAUCUCUGAAGCAACUGGAUCUGAGCAUAGAUCUUCUGUGCUCUUUUGUGAAAGAGCUCUUUUGUGAAAUCCAGUACUUGAUAUUUUGCAUCCUUUAACAAGUGUAAAAAUUCACCUCCAUGGGACCUUAGCACAUGCUGAAGCAGCCUGAAUUUCCUAAGUUUCAAAGCCCACUUCUCCCAUGGCUACCACACAGAGUAGCGGAUGGCUCAGUCACUUGCGCUAUAAACUUUGGUUCUAUUUUUUGCACUGCUUUAGGGUUCAGCUCUUCGGCGUCUUUUGGAAAGCACACGAUAAUCAGCAUCAGUAACUUGCAGGAUAAUAUCAGCCCUUCCUCACUUGACAAAAAAGGCCAGAGGAACAUAGCAGCCAAGUUCAGGCUGGGCCUAGAAGAAGAGACUCAGUGUGCAUACCCAGGUGACCACACACAGAUGAUGGCGGAGGGCAGAAGAUGGGACACCUGCAAUGCUGGGUUAUUCUCAGCCGUCUCUCAUCCUGGGCUCAGCAAAACGCUUCUCCCAGCACAGAAGUAUUUGAGCCACAAGAGGUCACUGUUGUCAGGUAUCACCUACCGCAUGGACUGAAACUCCUUGCACCUAAAGGAUACCUGUCAGCAGUGCAACAAGCAACGUGCUGGCCAGCAGCAGCAUGCACCAAACACCCUUCUCUCAACUCCUCGCCACUCUGGGCGAGAAUGUGUGGGAAGAAGGGGCCCGCUUUGAAGAGAAACCACGAGACUGAAGCAGCCUCCCCGGUCCCCCUCAAUAUCGCACGUGAGUGCGCUUCCAGGUGGCUGACAGGGUUUCAGCGUGUAGAAGCCAGGUUUAAAGAGGAAUAAAAGUAAAAGAAGCCUUAAGAACGCUCGAGGU
rnacentral:lncRNA from 1 species